ACGCGGGAUGGAGCAGCUCGGUAGCUCGUCGGGCUCAUAACCCGAAGGUNGGUUCGAGCCCAGUACGGGUC
rnacentral:tRNA from 1 species